GAAAAUCAGGGUUUGAAGAGCUUGACCCCAUCAAUCGUAUGCAAACAACAAUGACAAACAAGCGAGGACGAAAGAAGGGAUAGAUACCUGAAAUCGUCACCACCACCAGAGUUUCGCCGGAUUUCCAAAGUUCCUGAGAAACCUCGUCACCUUCGCUUUAGGUUUCAACGGAGGAACAAUAACCGAGGUUCGUCCGAUCUUCUUGUUGCGUUUGAUGUUUCCCGUUUGGUAAUGAU
rnacentral:lncRNA from 1 species